GUCAGAGUGGUGUAGUGGUUUGAGCAUUGGACUAUGACUCAGGAGACCAGGGUUAGAUUCCCUACUUAGCCA